rnacentral:tRNA from 1 species
GGGCGAUUGGCUCAGUGGUGAGAGCGCCUGCUUCACACGCAGGAGGUCAGUGGUUCAAAUCCACUAUCGCCCACCA